AGAGGCAUGUGAUAAGACCAUCUCCCUGCCUGCUUCACGCUGGGGUCUGAAGAAUCCUGUGUCUGAAGAAAUGCUGUGUCCUCGCAGGGGUCCCCAGCUGGCUUCAGGCAUCCCUAGGGCUCAGGUCACUUUUUCAAGAUCUCAGAAUCCAUCAUCAUGCCUGAGGAGCCUAAUGCCGACACUAAAUGGUUGCAAGAAUGAUGUCUCACUCUUACACAUGAGGACUAAAAGUGCUUACUGGUCAGAAGCAGAUCAGGAAGGACUUCUUGGUCUCCCCCUUUCCUACCUGGGGAAGCCAUCUGACUACAUAAUGGCAAAACUGGUCAUGUCUUUCUCUGUGGCCAGGAACUCAUGAACUGCCGCUGCUUUGGGAGUGUCAUGCUUUAUAGAUUUUUUUCUUUUAAUGGACAGAGACUUGUUUAUCUAAUCACCACGGGCAUAUUUCAAGACAGUCACAGAUAAAAUGCCCAGUCUUUUCACCCAGGCAGAUAGAACUUGGGUACUCUAAACAUCAUUACAUGUCCUACUCCUGUGUAAAAUAUACUAACAUACUGACUGUGCCCUAACCAUCUCACCAGCAUCCAGAAGAGAUUGGAAGAGAUGCCACACUGACUUUUUUUGGCAGCCCUUACCACAUGCACGGAGUUGUCCCUUGGUAUC